AGUGAACGCUGGCGGUAGACCUAACACAUGCAAGUCGAACGGCAGCACAGUAAGAGCUUGCUCUUACGGGUGGCGAGUGGCGGACGGGUGAGGAAUACAUCGGAAUCUACUUUUUCGUGGGGGAUAACGUAGGGAAACUUACGCUAAUACCGCAUACGACCUACGGGUGAAAGCAGGGGAUCUUCGGACCUUGCGCGAUUGAAUGAGCCGAUGCCGGAUUAGCUAGUUGGCGGGGUAAAGGCCCACCAAGGCGACGAUCCGUAGCUGGUCUGAGAGGAUGAUCAGCCACACUGGAACUGAGACACGGUCCAGACUCCUACGGGAGGCAGCAGUGGGGAAUAUUGGACAAUGGGCGCAAGCCUGAUCCAGCCAUACCGCGUGGGUGAAGAAGGCCUUCGGGUUGUAAAGCCCUUUUGUUGGGAAAGAAAAGCAGCAGGUUAAUACCCCGCUGUUCUGACGGUACCCAAAGAAUAAGCACCGGCUAACUUCGUG
rnacentral:rRNA from 1 species